UACGUAGGGUGCAAGCGUUAAUCGGAAUUACUGGGCGUAAGGCGUGCGCAGGCGGUUCUAUAAGACAGAUGUGAAAUCCCCGGGCUCAACCUGGGAACUGCAUUUGUGACUGUAGAGCUGGAGUGCGGCAGAGGGGGAUGGAAUUCCGCGUGUAGCAGUGAAAUGCGUAGAUAUGCGGAGGAACACCGAUGGCGAAGGCAAUCCCCUGGGCCUGUACUGACGCUCAUGCACGAAAGCGUGGGGAGCAAACAGG
rnacentral:rRNA from 1 species